UAGGGAAUCUUCCACAAUGGACGCAAGUCUGAUGGAGCAACGCCGCGUGAGUGAAGAAGGUUUUCGGACCGUAAAGCUCUGUUGUUGGUGAAGAAGGAUAGAGGUAGUAACUGGCCUUUAUUUGACGGUAAUCAACCAGAAAGUCACGGCUAACUACGUGCCAGCAGCCGCGGUAAUACGUAGGUGGCAAGCGUUGUCCGGAUUUAUUGGGCGUAAAGCGAGCGCAGGCGGAAGAAUAAGUCUGAUGUGAAAGCCCUCGGCUUAACCGAGGAAUUGCAUCGGAAACUGUUUUCUUGAGUGCAGAAGAGGAGAGUAGAACUCCAUGUGUAGCGGUGGAAUGCGUAGAUAUAUGGAAGAAUACCAGUGGCGAAGGCGGCUCUCUGGUCUGCAACUGACGCUGAGGCUCGAAAGCAUGGUAGCGAACAGGAUUAGAUACCCUGGUAGUCCAUGCCG
rnacentral:rRNA from 1 species